rnacentral:rRNA from 1 species
AUUGAACGCUGGCGGCAGGCUUAACACACGCAAGUCGAGCGGAGACUUCGGUCUUAGCGGCGAACGGGUGAGGAAUGCCUGGGAAUCUGCCUGGUAGUGGGGGGAUAACGUUCCGAAAGGAACGCUAAUACCGCAUACGUCCUACGGGAGAAAGCAGGGGACCUUCGGGCCUUGCGCUAUCAGAUGAGCCCAGGUCGGAUUAGCUAGUAGGUGAGGUAAAGGCUCACCUAGGCGACGAUCCGUAGCUGGUCUGAGAGGAUGAUCAGCCACACUGGAACUGAGACACGGUCCAGACUCCUACGGGAGGCAGCAGUGGGGAAUAUUGGACAAUGGGCGAAAGCCUGAUCAGCCAUGCCGCGUGUGUGAAGAA